UACAGAGGUGCCGAGCGUUAGGCGGAAUCACUGGGCUUAAAGCGUGUGUAGGCGGGCGGGCAAGUACCUUGUGAAAUCCCACGGCUCAACCGUGGAACGGCUGGGUAUACUGCCUGUCUUGAGCCAACUAGGGGCGAGCGGAACAGACGGUGGAGCGGUGAAAUGCGUAGAGAUCCGGAGGAACACCAGUGGCGAAGGCGACACGCUGGGCCGUACCUGACACUGAUGCGCGACAGCAUGGGGAGCAAACAGG
rnacentral:rRNA from 1 species